AGAGUUUGAUCCUGGCUCAGGAUGAACGCUGGCGGCGUGCCUAACACAUGCAAGUUGAGCGAUUUACUUCGGUAAAGAGCGGCGGACGGGUGAGUAACGCGUGGGUAACCUACCCUGUACACACGGAUAACAUACCGAAAGGUAUGCUAAUACGGGAUAAUAUAUUUGAGAGGCAUCUCUUGAAUAUCAAAGGUGAGCCAGUACAGGAUGGACCCGCGUCUGAUUAGCUAGUUGGUAAGGUAACGGCUUACCAAGGCGACGAUCAGUAGCCGACCUGAGAGGGUGAUCGGCCACAUUGGAACUGAGACACGGUCCAAACUCCUACGGGAGGCAGCAGUGGGGAAUAUUGCACAAUGGGCGAAAGCCUGAUGCAGCAACGCCGCGUGAGUGAUGAAGGCCUUCGGGUCGUAAAACUCUGUCCUCAAGGAAGAUAAUGACGGUACUUGAGGAGGAAGCCCCGGCUAACUACGUGCCAGCAGCCGCGGUAAUACGUAGGGGGCUAGCGUUAUCCGGAUUUACUGGGCGUAAAGGGUGCGUAGGCGGUCUUUCAAGUCAGGAGUGAAAGGCUACGGCUCAACCGUAGUAAGCUCUUGAAACUGGGAGACUUGAGUGCAGGAGAGGAGAGUGGAAUUCCUAGUGUAGCGGUGAAAUGCGUAGAUAUUAGGAGGAACACCAGUUGCGAAGGCGGCUCUCUGGACUGUAACUGACGCUGAGGCACGAAAGCGUGGGGAGCAAACAGGAUUAGAUACCCUGGUAGUCCACGCUGUAAACGAUGAGUACUAGGUGUCGGGGGUUACCCCCUUCGGUGCCGCAGCU
rnacentral:rRNA from 1 species